rnacentral:tRNA from 1 species
GCUUCACUAGCUCAGUUGGCAGAGCGUCAGUCUCAUAGAAUCUGAAGGUCGACAGUUCGAACCUGCCGUGGAGCA